rnacentral:rRNA from 1 species
AGAGUUUGAUCCUGGCUCAGGAUGAACGCUGGCGGCGUGCCUAAUACAUGCAAGUCGAGCGAACCACUUCGGUGGGAAGCGGCGAACGGGUGAGUAACACGUAGGUGAUCUGCCCAUCAGACGGGGACAACGAUUGGAAACGAUCGCUAAUACCGGAUAGGACGAAAGUUUAAAGAUGCUCCUGGCAUCACUGAUGGAUGAGCCUGCGGCGCAUUAGCUAGUUGGUGGGGUAAAGGCCUACCAAGGCGACGAUGCGUAGCCGACCUGAGAGGGUGAACGGCCACACUGGGGCUGAGACACGGCCCAGACUCCUACGGGAGGCAGCAGUAGGGAAUCUUCGGCAAUGGGCGAAAGCCUGACCGAGCAACGCCGCGUGAAUGAAGAAGGCCUUCGGGUUGUAAAAUUCUGUUAUAAGGGAAGAAAGGUGAUAGGAGGAAAUGACUAUCAAUUGACGGUACCUUAUGAGAAAGCCACGGCUAACUACGUG